GUUCAGAAACUCCUCCAAAUACUGGCUUCUCUAUAAAGCCCACCCUGAUGUCUGAUUCCUGAAUCCCAGCUAGCUCCUUCUCCUGACUCAGCAACCUGUACCAUCACUGAAGUUCUUCUGCCAGUUGCCCUGGUAAUACAGUGCAUCAGACCUGUCCGUCUCCCGAGGUAGACUCCAGUUAGCUAUGCGAAGAUAGCAAGCGUUCAACAAGUGUUGGCUGUAUCAGUCGGGAGGAAGCAUUCCAUUUUGGAGGGGAAGAAAAGAGUUGGAACCAGAGAGUGAAUCACAAAAUCCAGUUUCAGUUAACAGGAAAUGGAGUCUGAACUCCAGCUGGUGGAAGGCUCUACUCUGAAACUUUGGAAUCAGAACUUCACAACUUGUCGGGGAAGUACAGUAAUUGGCAAAUUUGAUGAGUGCGCCUGACCAUUUUGUUGGAUACUAUAAGAGCAAUUGCUCAAGGCAUUGCACAAGCUGGGGGGAUAUAUUUGCAGGAGUGCAUUGGGAACCAAGCCCCACUUUCCUGGGUCUCAGACAGAGGAACUGAAGGAUGCAUGUAAUCCAGUGCCAAAUUCCAGAUGCUGAAAUGAAAUCAGAAUUGCAGGAAUCCAAGGGAAGAGGAAUAAGGAUGACCCAUGUCCCAGAGCACCUGGUCCUGUGCAUCUUGUCCUGAGUGCUCGGCUAGGAGUGAAGCUCCCAGAGAACUCACUCUUCACCUACAGCACCUGCCCACGGCACCUUCCUACGUAGCAGAACUAAACUCUGGCACGCAGAGAAUCCACCUCCAAAAAUUGGUGCAAAAUCUAUUCAUGAGCAUUAUCAACAUUUGUUUUAUUUUAAGAAAUUGUUCUCAACUCUCAUGACUGAAUGUUUACUUCCAGGUAGUGUGUUUGCUAGUCUGAAAGUGGUUCUGCUCUGAAUUACUGGGACUUAGAGACUCACUGAGACUAAGGCCUCAUGCCUUUGUAGCUUUCCAAGGGAGAGAUGAGACAGGAGAAAGAAGAAAAAACAGCAGCGGUGUGCUGGUGCCAACUCCCGCAGCCUUAGGAGAGCAGAGGGUUAAUUUUUCAGGAAGUCUGCAAGCCGGUUGUGAAAUCUGUUGGGUAGCUUGAAAUCAGUGGUGGCAGGAGUAUUUACACCGUGGGAACAGGCAAAAUCAGAACACACCACUGGAAAUGAAUAUUCUUCGCCCAACUUUUGGAUUUCCAAAUCCUAGCCCUCAGAGAAAAAUGGAAAGGACUCUUGCCUAGAAAAUCAAGUAGGACAUUUCCUGGACUAUGGCAAGAGGAAAAACAGAGGGAAAGAGAGCAUACUCUAAGAAUAUCAGGGCUGUCAGCCUCAUUUUGUGUUCUUCCCUCUACCUCACCUUUUGAACCCAUGUAAGUAAACAUUUACAAGACUGCAGAAUAACAGCAAACACAUAACGGUAAACAUACUGAUGCACCGUACCCAAAGAAAUGACUUCAUAAGCAAAAUGGAGAGAAAAAAGCUAUUAUAACAGGCCGGGUGAGGUGGCUCAGGCCUAUAAUCCCAGCAAGGCUGAGACAGGCGGAUCACUUGAGGUCAGGAGUUUGAGACCAGCCUGGUCAACAUGACGAAACCCCAUCUCUAUUAAAAAUACAAAAAUUAGCUGGGUGUGACGGUGUGCACCUGUAAUCCUAGCUACUUGGAAGGCUGAGGCAUGAGAAUCACUUGAACUGGGGAGGCAGAGGUUGCAGUGAGCCAAGAUCAGGCCACUGCACUCCAGCCUGUGUGAGAGAGUGAGACUCCUUCUCAAAAGAAAAAAAAAGUUCUAACAAUUCAUAAGUACAAUCUUUCUUUUUAUUUUCUUCUUUCCACUUGGUAUGUCAAAAUAUUUCAGUUCAUCUCCAUUUUAACACUUCUCUGGUACAUUCUGUUAAUCUCUAUUUUAUUAAAUGGAGAUUACAUUAUAACAGUUACCUGAUGCAUAGAAUGUAGCAACCAUGUCAAUAAACACAAAGUAUAUAAUAAAUAUUUUAUUUCUUCAAAUAUAGAAUUAUGUAUUUUUUCAUAUAAAGGAAGAAAUUCUCCGUUUUUAAAAAUAAUUAUAUUUGCUACUACUAUGUUUACAUUUUAUCAAACCCAAUUUUCUCUUAUUUCUCUAUAGUAUCGUAAGUAUAUACUACUAACAAAAGUAUUGUUUCUUCUUUUUUUUUUUGACAGAGUCUCGCUCUGUCACCCUGGAGUGCAGUGUGCGAUCUUGGCUCACUGCAAGCUCCACCUCCCGGG
rnacentral:lncRNA from 10 species